ACGGCAUCUCGGCUUCGUGGGAGUUGAGGAGCGUCUCAACUGCAUGUCAGGAGAAUCCAUGAAAAGGAAAGAACCCAGAACAAAUGGGUGAGAAAGUUCAAGACUAUGUUCAGCGUUAAGAGCAAAAGCCACCUGAGAAUUCUGCUUGCAGCCUCUUCCCAGGCAUUACAGUGCAAAGCUAAUUAGGGAGAAUGGCAUGAGUAG
rnacentral:lncRNA from 1 species